rnacentral:piRNA from 1 species
UAAGAUUGCAACUUUAAAACAGUUAUAUU